rnacentral:pre_miRNA from 1 species
AGGGGAGGCCGGAUCCUGGGCUGUGUCCCGGCCCCUGUGCUCCGGGGCCUGAGCUGGUGGAGUCGCGCUCCAGCCCCGCAGCCCCCU